GUGCCAGCCGCCGCGGUAAUACGGAGGGUGCAAGCGAUGUCCCAUAUUAUUGGGCCUAAAGCGUCCGUAGCUGGCCGACCAAGUCUCCCGGGAAAUCCACCCGCCCAACGGGUGGGCGUCCGGUAGAAACUGGCCGGCUUGGAACCGGAAGGCUCGGAGAGUACGUCCGGGGUAGGAGUGAAAUCCCGUAAUCCCGGACGGACUACCGAUGGCGAAAGCACUCUGAGAAGACGGCUUCGACAGUGAGGGACGAAAGCUCGGGUCUCAAACCGGAUUAGAUACCCCUGUAGUCC
rnacentral:rRNA from 1 species